rnacentral:miRNA from 1 species
GUUCUACGGUGUUGUGAUAUA